UGGCGGCGUGCCUAACACAUGCAAGUCGAACGGGAAUCUUCGGAUUCUAGUGGCGGACGGGUGAGUAACGCGUAAGAAUCUAACUUCAGGACGGGGACAACAGUUGGAAACGACUGCUAAUACCCGAUGUGCCGCAAGGUGAAUCCUAAUUGGCCUGAAGAAGAGCUUGCGUCUGAUUAGCUAGUUGGUGGGGUAAAGGCCUACCAAGGCAACGAUCAGUAGCUGGUCUGAGAGGAUGAGCAGCCACACUGGGACUGAGACACGGCCCAGACUCCUACGGGAGGCAGCAGUGGGGAAUUUUCCGCAAUGGGCGAAAGCCUGACGGAGCAACGCCGCGUGAGGGAGGAAGGUCUUUGGAUUGUAAACCUCUUUUCUCAAGGAAGAAGUUCUGACGGUACUUGAGGAAUCAGCCUCGGCUAACUCCGUGCCAGCAGCCGCGGUAAUACGGGGGAGGCAAGCGUUAUCCGGAAUUAUUGGGCGUAAAGCGUCCGCAGGUGGUCAGCCAAGUCUGCCGUCAAAUCAGGUUGCUUAACGACCUAAAGGCGGUGGAAACUGGCAGACUAGAGAGCAGUAGGGGUAGCAGGAAUUCCCAGUGUAGCGGUGAAAUGCGUAGAGAUUGGGAAGAACAUCGGUGGCGAAAGCGUGCUACUGGGCUGUAUCUGACACUCAGGGACGAAAGCUAGGGGAGCGAAAGGGAUUAGAUACCCCUGUAGUCCUAGCCGUAAACGAUGGAUACUAGGCGUGGCUUGUAUCGACCCGAGCCGUGCCGAAGCUAACGCG
rnacentral:rRNA from 1 species